UUGACAUAUGUGAGGCAAGUAAUGGUCAAAAUAUGUUUUUUUCCAUACAUUAAAAUGUAAAUCAUUUUGCGGCAGGUAUUUAAAUUGUUGCAUAAGGCAUCACAUGAGCUCUGAAACUAUUUUCAAAAAUGUUUUCAUUUUGUAUAAAUAAUUUUCAUUAUGGAAAUCAUUCCAAAGCAUUGCUUUGCUUCUUAAACUUCGUCGAAACAAAUAAAACAACUAUAAAGUAUUUUAAAAGCUUGGCUAAAUUUCCAUUCCAAAGAAUCUAUAAAAUAAUACUUUCAAGAUGUCAGCUUUGCAGCGCAUAAGCGACUAUCUGGAACAGUGCAAAGUAAUUGGUAUAAAUGUUUGUAAAUUUCUUAAUGGGAAUAUGUUCUAUUGCAUGUUGGUGAAGACUUCCCUCAUCUUCCUUUUGGGCGCAUGGAUGACAAAGGAGCUUGAGCUGAAUGUGCAAAAUUGAUCCUUUGUAUUUCAACAUGUUUUGUUCGUCAGAAAAAAAGAAAUAAAAAAGUUCAGUGUCUGGUGUAAUGCGUAGCUUGUAAUCGUGCA